rnacentral:rRNA from 1 species
AGAGUAAUUAAUGUCCUAUAGGAGCCAGCCUCACAUGGGGUUGGCUUUAAAGGCGCAAGCCACUUGGAGAUUGGAGUAUUUUCUAUUAGCUAGUUGGCGGGAUAAUAGCCCACCAAGGCAGUGAUAGAUAGCUGGUCUAAGAGGAUGAACAGCCACAAUGGGAUUGAGAUACGGCCCAUAUUCCUACGGGAAGCAGCAGUAGGGAAUCUUCCACAAUGGGCGAAAGCCUGAUGGAGUGAUGCCAUGUGAAUGAUGAAGGUCUUUUUGAUUGUAAAGUUCUUUUAUUGGGGAAAAUGAUGAUGGUACCCAGUGAAUAAGUGACAGCAAACUAUGUGCCAGCAGCUGCGGUAAUACAUAGGUCGCGAGCGUUAUUCGGAUUUAUUGGGCGUAAAGCGAGCGCAGGCGGAUUGGUAAGUUCUGUGUUAAAUGCAGCCGCUCAACGGUUGUAUGCGCAGAAUACUGCUUUUCUAGAAUACGGUAGAAAGUUUUGGAAUUGAAUGUGGAGCGGUGGAAUGUGUAGAUAUAUUCAAGAACACCAGAGGCGAAGGCGAAAACUUAGGCCGAUAUUGACGCUUAGGCUCGAAAGUGUGGGGAGCAAAUGGGAUUAGAUACCCCAGUAGUCCACACCGUAAACGAUGGAUAUUAGAUGUUGGGACUUGAGUCUCAGCGUUGUAGCUUACGUGUUAAAUAUCCCGCCUGAGUAGUACAUAUGCAAAUAUGAAACUCAAAGGAAUUGACGGGGACCUGAACAAGUGGUGGAACAUGUUGCUUAAUUCGACAAUACACGAAAAACCUUACCAAGAUUUGACAUCCCCUGCAAAGCUUUAGAAAUAAAGUGGAGGUUAUCAGGGUGACAGGUGGUGCAUGGCUGUCGUCAGCUCGUGUCAUGAGAUGUCUGGUUAAGUCCUGAAACGAGCGCAACCCUACUCUUUAGUUAACUUUCUAAAGAGACUGAACAGUAAUGUAUAGGAAGGAUGGGAUCACGUCAAGUCAUCAUGCCCCUUAUAUCUUGGGCCGC